AGACCCAUGAGUACGUCUGUUUUCAUCACUGUGAACACUUGAGGACCAGUGCUUCUGAGCUGAGGUCGUCUCACUCCAUGGCAGACAUUUGGGAUCAUUGCCACAGGAAGUGUGGAGGGGGCAGAGGCCAGAGAGACUGCUAGACCCCGCAUUGCGUGAUACAGCAGAAGAGAGCAUGUCCCUGGAUGUGAUGCCAGAAGAGCCAAGGCAUCAGGAUCCUUAGUGCCAUGGUGACCAUCCAACAGCCAUCGCUCACUGCCAACUGCAAAUCACAUUCACAUGCAAAUAAAGCAGCAGAAGGGCACAGGCUCAGGUAUCCCACAGCAACUUGGGGACAGUUGCCAAACUGACUCCCUUCAUUUUUCAUUGAAUGGAAGAGCUGCUGAGUCUCCUGCACAUGGAAACAUCACAAAGGGGACUGUCCUCUAACAGGAAGCAUGCUCUCUAAGAUCCUUGAAAACAACCAUAGAGCACAAUGAAGCUGGCAAGUCUGGAGAAGAGAAUGCUGAGCCCAGAGAAGAGACUUGGCCAGUGCCACAGCAUGAUGGUAGCAAGUCCAGCCUUCCAGCACCUCUUCCUUCUGCUUCACUGACAAUUUCACACAUGGCCGUGGUGAGCUAGCCUCAGCUACUGAUGUCCUAAGUGGGACCAGAGAAGACCUUCAGGAUUCAAGACAUCCACCCACUUCAAAGGGAGAGAUUAAUGGAUGCUGAUUUUAUGUAGUUUUCCAUGACCAACCAAGUCUACUUGAGAGAUGUUUUUGUGUUCACCAACCAACCCCUCUGGCAUUGGGCUAUCAGAAAAUGCUCCAUAAGGACCGUGUGUGAGAAUGGGAUUUGGCAGUAACAAUAAGAAUGAAAUGAGCCCAAAUCUCAGGAGAGAACCUCUCACAAAGCCUAACAUAAUACACAGAACCACAGAGUUUAAACCAAUGGAGAGCAGCUAUGGAAAACUGACUCUCAAUGAUGUUAUCUCAAAAUGUAGGAAGUUAUAACAACAUGGCCCAGGAAGGGGGUAUGAAGAGUUGUCGAUGAUAUUGGUGAAUGUGUAGAAUUCCAUGCCAUAAAUAAUGCAUACUUAUGAGGCUCAGUCAACUGUAAAAGUGAUGGACUAAGUAGUGGAGGAGGAAGAAGACACAUCAAGGCCACUAUCAAGUAAAUUCUGGAUAUAGACAUAUGUCAAAUAUGUGUUUAUUUUUGAUGCUGUUGACUUUCAACCAUAAAAGUCAAAGGAUUUAACGUGUUUGGUGUCUUAACCAGCUUUAAUUAUCAACUUGACACAGCCUGGAGUUAUCUGAGAGGGAAGCCUAGAUCAGAUUGGCCUGUGGGCAUAUCUGCUUGGUAGUUAAAUGAUGCAGGACAGGUGUCCCGGGCUGUCUAAGAAAAGCAGCUAAACUUCAGUCUGUGAGGCAACAAGCAGGGUUCGUCUGUGGAUUUUGCUUCAAGUUUCUACUUAAGUUCUUGGACUGACUUCCUUCCAUGAUGAACUGUGACCUGGAAGUAUAAGCCCAAUAAGCCAUUCCCUUCCUUGAGUUGCUUUUGGUCAAUGUUUUACCCCAGCACAAGGAAUGAAGCGGGAACAUGUUAUUUAUAUCCCACCAGGAAUGCCUUCUACGCAUGUGAGGAUCCUGCCUGGAGCACUUCCUCUUAGACCGAAUCAAGUUUUAAAGAUGACAGCAGCCAACACAAUGCUCAGACCUGCCCUUGCAGGAAACACCUAAGGGACAAUUCUAAUUUAUUCUUGUUGUACUUUCUCUGACAGAACUAGCACAUUAACAGAGUACUGGAGAGAGAGAAUGCAGCAGGGUCCUUUUAGACUCAGUGCAAAAUGGAAACACAUUCUCUAGGUUGUUAAACUUUCCCCUGCGUUUGUUCUAGAUGAGAGGCUAGAUCUCAGGCAGGGGCCCACAGAUGGUCGCCGGCCAAGAGAGCAUUCCUGGUGACAGGAGAAGGCACCUUCCUAUCUCAGGAGAAGGAAAUACAGGACUACCCCUGUUACCAGAAGCACCGCACCGAGGAAGACCCUAACCGCCUUCCUCCGCUCCACAGGCGUCCUACAUCCCUGAGCAGACUAAUUCUUAGCAAUUCUAAUAGUGACAGGUGGCUCUAAAAUUUACAGCUCAUAUGAUAUUGAAAUGUGCGUUGAAGUUAACUUAGCUUUACUGUAUUUGUGAUCCUAUUCCAAAAUAAGCUGGGAGAAGAUAUGGGGACGUCUGCAGGGUGUUAGAAAAGGGAAGUCGGGUCGGUACAAACUGAAUAGGUGGUAUUAAUUAUGAAACUAACAAAGAAUAUAACAAACAAAAUGAUUAGGAAGAAAUGUAUCUUUAUAUAUGUAGUAUGAGAAUAUUACUAUGUUAAAACAAACUUUAACAAGCCUGAUACGGGUGCUUAAAACCAACCUCAGGUCCUUCUGCAAGCAGAAAGCAUUCUUAACUGCUGAGUCAUCUCUCAGUCUUAUUUUUAGAAUUAAAGUAAAAUAUGACAAGUUUUAAUCAACUACUUUAAAUAAUUUUUCUCUCUUAAAAUAUGAGCCAUAGAUUUUCUGUAGCUUUUAUUUCUAAUAAUGUAGCUUUGUUAUUUUUCCUGAAAUUUCCUAUAAGCCUCCUAUAAAAGUAUACAUUUUUAUUAAGAAAUAUGAAAUUUGUAAAAAAGAUGUUAUAACUAACACCAAAACUUUAAAAGUACUGUAAAGCUUCUGGGACUUUGUAUUUUUUAAUGCUGGUUAAGAAAAAUGUGAUUAUGUGUGGUACAGGCCUAUAAUCCCAGUUGCUUGGGAGUCUGAGGCAGGAGGUCUGAAAGUUUAAAGCCAGUGGUUCAAGGUUAGCCUGGGCAAACUGCUGGGAUCUUUUCUCGAAACAAAAGUAAAAAGAGGGCUAAGGAAGUGUAAUAGUCCACUGUAAAGUGUUUGUCCAGCAUCUAAUGGGCUCUUAAUUUAUUUCCCUACUGAACAAAUAAAAUGUAGAUUU